GUCCUAUGAUGAGGACAUUUACGAAGUAACUCCUUGAAUCGCUCCCAAGAUCAUACAAAGACUUGUCAUUCAAUUGUUGGAAAGUUGUGAUCUCAUUCCUCAACUU
rnacentral:snoRNA from 1 species